GCUUUUUUCUCCUUUAAGUUUCUUAGUUGGUAGAUUACCUCUUCCUUCUUUAUAUUACCUUCUCUCUCCUCCAUUAUUUUCUCUUCUGCUCGAUGCUCCUCCGUUUUUCUGCCCUCUUUGUGUUCUGUUCCUUCUAAAAUUUUCAUAAAGUGAUUUUUCCACUCUUCUUCGCUUAUUUCUUCAUCUAUACCCUCUUUUCUUCUUCUAUAUUUAUUUAUGUAUUUCCACGCUUCUUAUUCUGUUUUGAUCUUCUUGAUUUUCUCCAUUUCUUCUUCUUCGUGUCUUUCCUUUCUUUGUUUGCACCAUUCGCUUCUCUACUGCAUUUUCCUUUCAUAAACUUUGGCAUCUUCCUUCUCAUCUCUCUUUUCCUCUCUUUCCACUCCUUGUCGUAUCACACUUUCUCUCCCAUGCCUCAUUUCCUUAUCUUCACUUUCUUCUUUGGCAUUGCUUCGUUUAUCUUCUUUUUGAUUUCUGUCCACAUUUCCUCUACUGUUCUUCCAUUGCAGGUCCAGUCUUUACAUUUCUCCAAGUAUUUUCCCACACUUUCGUUUAUCCAUUCCCUUUUCUCCUUCUCUUCUCCUUUCUUUUCCUCAUUUUUUUUGUAAUUCCGGCCCCCCUAUUUCUAUUUCUAACGGCGUGUAAUUCAACUCUGUUCUUUUUCCUACUUUCAUAUCAAUUAUU
rnacentral:misc_RNA from 1 species